GGGGGCAGGGUGGGUGCAUGGAGCAGUGUCAAGGCAGCAACCUGCCCCAGCUCAGACCUGCAGGACAGCUGUGGGGUGUUCUGAGUACCAGCCUGCCUGUGUGUGGGAACAGACUGCUCCAGACCAGCUCACUUAGUAGAUCAAGGGAUUUCUUGUUCUCAGAAUCAAACUUGAGGGGCUUGUUUGUUCUGAGAACAAAUUUGGGGAGGGAAAUAAGAGGCUGUGAGCUUCAGGAAAGAUCAGCUUUAAGAGCCCAAGACCAUUUUCUUCACAACUGAAAUCGGAUUCCCACAGUCCAUGGAGACAAACAAAACAGCAUGACAUCACUCACCCGGGAGCUGUCCUGACAGAUACCAUCACAGCCUUUUGUUCAAGAUGAGAUGGAUGUGAUUUGCUUUCUGUAGGUGGCAUCCUGCCCCUAACAGACCAGGGGAUGGUCUUCUAAGUUGCACCUGAGGACAUGGCAGGCUUCACCCAAAUGAUUCAUCAGAAUUCUGGAGGAGAACAAUGUAGGGCAUUUGAUUUCCACAGUUUAAUAAACUGCUUAUUCAACUGA